rnacentral:rRNA from 1 species
AGUGGCGGACGGGUGAGGAAUACAUCGGAAUCUACUCUGUCGAGGGGGAUAACGUAGGGCAACUUACGCUAAUACCGCAUACAAUUGAAUGAACCGAUGUCGGAUUAGCUAGUUGGCGGGGUAACGGCACACCCAGGCGACGAUCCGUAGCUGGGCUGAGAGGAUGAUAAGCCACACUGGAACUGAGACACGGUCCAGACUCCUACGGGAGGCAGCAGGGGGGAAUAUUGGACAAUGGGCGUAAGCCUGUUCCAGCCAUACCGCGUUGGUGAAGAAGGCCGUCGGGUUGUAAAGCCCUUUUGUUGGGAAAGCGGUACCCAAAGAAUAAGCACCGGCUAACUUCGUGCCAGCAGCCGCGGUAAUAC